rnacentral:misc_RNA from 1 species
UUUCUUUUCUUCAAGAAGAUUUUCUUGCAAUAUUUUUCUUGAAGGUUGAUUUUUGUCAUUUUCUUUUCAAUACCUAUGCCCUGUAAUAUUUAAUUCUAUGCUCCUGGUUUUCUAAUUUAUCUUGCAUGUUCAUGUAGAUUAUGUAAUCUUAUUUAAUUUGACGAGAUACACAACUCUGCAUAUACUCAGUUUUCUAUCUCCCACGUUUUUAUUAUUUUUUGUUAUCUUCUGAAUCUGUAAAAAUUUUAGAAAAAUUAUAUUCAUAUUUUACACGAAAUUUUAUUGAUUUUAGGAUAAAAAAUCACUGAAAAAUUUUUUGUAUUUUGUAAGUUAUGACUGUUUGAAUUUAGGGUUCCUGCAAAACCUAAUUUGCAGAAUACCCGAUUUGUGAAGCCCAUAUCUCCUUUGUUUGUUAAUAUUUUUGUGUAAAUCUAGUAUCUAAAAUUAAAUUCAAAAUCUUGUGAAUAUUUUCCAAUUGGUUUUGUAUUCAUAUCUUUUGUGGUUAAAGAGUUAUGAAUUUUAUAAAAAAUAGUACGAUUCUAUCACUUAGAAAAGUUAAGAUUUAUGUAGACCAUUUGGCUAGGGUUUUGUUUGGUUUAUAAAUUUUAUGAUGUUGUAUGAUAUUUUGGCUAUCUUUUGUAAUUUUUUCAUGAUUUUUAGACUUGUCUAACUAUUUUUCAAAAAUCAAAUUUCUUACUACUGUCAAUCUGCCAAAAUCUGAAAAUUGUAUGUUUAUGCAAAUUCUUAUGUGUUCUUGGGUACUAAUUGAUAUUUGAUCAAUUUUUCUGUAUUCUUUUAAUUUAAGAGGUGUUGUGAAGUGUUUGGAUCAUGUUAGAA